CACAACUGGUGCACCAACUGAGGUUGCCGCGUAAGAAAG
rnacentral:sRNA from 1 species